AUUGAACGCUGGCGGCAGGCCUAACACAUGCAAGUCGAACGGUAGCACAGAGAGCUUGCUCUCGGGUGACGAGUGGCGGACGGGUGAGUAAUGUCUGGGAAACUGCCCGAUGGAGGGGGAUAACUACUGGAAACGGUAGCUAAUACCGCAUAACGUCGCAAGACCAAAGUGGGGGACCUUCGGGCCUCACACCAUCGGAUGUGCCCAGAUGGGAUUAGCUAGUAGGUGGGGUAAUGGCUCACCUAGGCGACGAUCCCUAGCUGGUCUGAGAGGAUGACCAGCCACACUGGAACUGAGACACGGUCCAGACUCCUACGGGAGGCAGCAGUGGGGAAUAUUGCACAAUGGGCGCAAGCCUGAUGCAGCCAUGCCGCGUGUAUGAAGAAGGCCUUCGGGUUGUAAAGUACUUUCAGCGGGGAGGAAGGCGGUGAAGUUAACAGCUUCACCGAUUGACGUUACCCGCAGAAGAAGCACCGGCUAACUCCGUGCCAGCCGCCGCCGUAA
rnacentral:rRNA from 1 species